rnacentral:rRNA from 1 species
GUGCCAGCAGCCGCGGUAAUACGUAGGUGGCGAGCGUUGUCCGGAAUCACUGGGCGUAAAGGGCGCGUAGGCGGCGAUUCAAGUCGCAUGUGAAAGACCAGGGCUCAACUCUGGGGUGUCAUGCGAAACUGAAUGGCUUGAGUGCAGUAGAGGAAAGCGGAAUUCCUGGUGUAGCGGUAAAAUGCGUAGAGAUCAGGAGGAACACCGGUGGCGAAGGCGGCUUUCUGGGCUGCAACUGACGCUGAGGCGCGAAAGCGUGGGGAGCAAACAGGAUUAGAUACCCUGGUAGUCCACGCGGUAAACGAUG